AACGAACGCUGGCGGCAGGCUUAACACAUGCAAGUCGAACGCAUCCUUCGGGGUGAGUGGCAGACGGGUGAGUAACGCGUGGGAACGUGCCCUUAAGUUCGGGAUAGCCCAGGGAAACAUGGGCUAAUACCGGAUACGUGCGAGAGCAGAAAGAGUUAUCGCUGAAGGAUCGGCCCGCGUCUGAUUAGCUAGUGGGUGGGGUAAUGACCCCACAGGGCGACGAUCAGUAGCUGGUCUGAGAGGAUGAUCAGCCACAUUGGGACUGAGACACGGCCCAAACUCCUACGGGAGGCAGCAGUGGGGAAUAUUGGACAAUGGGCGCAAGCCUGAUCCGGCCAUGCCGCGUGAGUGAUGAAGGCCUUAGGGUUGUAAAGCUCUUUCGUCCGGGACGAUAAUAACGGUACCGGAAGAAGAAGCCCCGGCUAACUUCGUGCCAGCCGCCGCCGUAAAAC
rnacentral:rRNA from 1 species